AAAUUGAAGAGUUUGAUCAUGGCUCAGAUUGAACGCUGGCGGCAGGCCUAACACAUGCAAGUCGAACGGUAACAGGAAGCAGCUUGCUGCUUCGCUGACGAGUGGCGGACGGGUGAGUAGUGUCUGGGAAACUGCCUGAUGGAGGGGGAUAACUACUGGAAACGGUAGCUAAUACCGCAUAAUGUCGCAAGACCAAAGAGGGGGACC
rnacentral:rRNA from 1 species